UAAGAAGUAUAAAAUUCAGGUAGUAUUAGAUGACUUAAAACUUAAAAAAUUUGGCGGUGUUUUAAUCUUAUUAGAGGAACCUGUUUUGUAAUCGACAAUACUCGACAAAUCUUACUUAGGUUAAUAGCUUGUAUAUCGUUGUGAUAAUGAUAUUUUAUAAUUAUUAUUAGGGGUAAUUUUAUUUUUAAUAUCAGAUCAAGGUUCAGUUUAUGCUUGAGUAAAUAAUGGGUUACAAUAUAAAAAUAUAUUAUGGAGUUUAUAUUUUAAAAAUAAAUGAAGGUGGAUUUAAAAGUAUUUUUGUAAUAAUAUGUUGGUUUGAAUUAGCUCUAAAACAUGC
rnacentral:rRNA from 1 species